rnacentral:rRNA from 1 species
UGGGGAAUAUUNNUGCANUGGGGGGAACCCUGACGCAGCCAUGCCGCGUGAAUGAAGAAGGCCUUAGGGUUGUAAAGUUCUUUCGGUAUUGAGGAAGGUUGAUGUGUUAAUAGCACAUCAAAUUGACGUUAAAUACAGAAGAAGCACCGGCUAACUCCGUGCCAGCAGCCGCGGUAAUACGGAGGGUGCGAGCGUUAAUCGGAAUAACUGGGCGUAAAGGGCACGCAGGCGGUUAUUUAAGUGAGGUNUGAAAGCCCCGGGCUUAACCUGGGAAUUGCAUUUCAGACUGGGUAACUAGAGUACUUUAGGGAGGGGUAGAAUUCCACGUGUAGCGGUGAAAUGCGUAGAGAUGUGGAGGAAUACCGAAGGCGAAGGCAGCCCCUUGGGAAUGUACUGACGCUCAUGUGCGAAAGCGUGGGGAGCAAACAGGAUUAGAUACCCUGGUAGUCCACGCUGUAAACGCUGUCGAUUUGGGGGUUGGGGGUUUAAACUCUGGCGCCCGUAGCCUAAACGUGAUAAAAUCGACCGCCUGGGGGAGUACGGCCGCAAGGGUUA